rnacentral:rRNA from 1 species
UAGCUAGUUGGUGAGGUAACGGCCCACCAAGGCGACGAUCGGUAGCCGGACUGAGAGGUUGAACGGCCACAUUGGGACUGAGACACGGCCCAGACUCCUACGGGAGGCAGCAGUGGGGAAUAUUGCACAAUGGGGGAAACCCUGAUGCAGCGACGCCGCGUGGAGGAAGAAGGUCUUCGGAUUGUAAACUCCUGUUGUUGGGGAAGAUAAUGACGGUACCCAACAAGGAAGUGACGGCUAACUACGUGCCAGCAGCCGCGGUAAAACGUAGGUCACAAGCGUUGUCCGGAAUUACUGGGUGUAAAGGGAGCGCAGGCGGGAAGACAAGUUGGAAGUGAAAUCCAUGGGCUCAACCCAUGAACUGCUUUCAAAACUGUUUUUCUUGAGUAGUGCAGAGGUAGGCGGAAUUCCCGGUGUAGCGGUGGAAUGCGUAGAUAUCGGGAGGAACACCAGUGGCGAAGGCGGCCUACUGGGCACCAACUGACGCUGAGGCUCGAAAGUGUGGGUAGCAAACAGGAUUAGAUACCCUGGUAGUCCACACCGUAAACGAUGAUUACUAGGAGUUGGAGGAUUGACCCCUUCAGUGCCGCAGUUAACACAAUAAGUAAUCCACCUGGGGAGUACGACCGCAAGGUUGAAACUCAAAGGAAUUGACGGGGGCCCGCACAAGCAGUGGAGUAUGUGGUUUAAUUCGACGCAACGCGAAGAACCUUACCAAGUCUUGACAUCCGUUGACCGCUGUAGAAAUACAGUUUUCCUUCGGGACAGCGAGACAGGUGGUGCAUGGUUGUCGUCAGCUCGUGUCGUGAGAUGUUGGGUUAAGUCCCGCAACGAGCGCAACCCUUAUGGUCAGUUACUACGCAAGAGGACUCUGGCCAGACUGCCGUUGACAAAACGGAGGAAGGUGGGGAUGACGUCAAAUCAUCAUGCCCUUUAUGACUUGGGCUACACACGUACUACAAUGGCGUUAAACAAAGAGAAGCAAGACCGCGAGGUGGAGCAAAACUCAGAAACAACGUCCCAGUUCGGACUGCAGGCUGCAACUCGCCUGCACGAAGUCGGAAUUGCUAGUAAUCGGGGAUCAGCAUGCCACGGUGAAUACGUUCCCGGGCCUUGUACACACCGCCCGUCACACCAUGAGAGCCGGGGGGACCCGAAGUCGGUAGUCUAACCGCAAGGAGGACGCCGCCGAAGGUAAAACUGGUGAUUGGGGUGAAGUCGUAACAAGGUAACCGUACUAGUACGGUGAGAG